CCAAUAGCGGCGAGUGAAGCGGCAAAAGCUCAGAUUUGGAAUCGCUUCGGCGAGUUGUGAAUUGCAGGUUGGCGCCUCUGCGGCGGCGGCGGUCCAAGUCCCUUGGAACAGGGCGCCAUUGAGGGUGAGAGCCCCGUGGGACCGUUUGCCUAGGCUUUGAGGCCCUUCUGACGAGUCGAGUUGUUUGGGAAUGCAGCUCUAAGCGGGUGGUAAAUUCCAUCUAAGGCUAAAUACUGGCGAGAGACCGAUAGCGAACAAGUACUGUGAAGGAAAGAUGAAAAGCACUUUGAAAAGAGAGUGAAACAGCACGUGAAAUUGUUGAAAGGGAAGGUAUUGCGCCCGACAUGGAGCGUGCGCACCGCUGCCCCU
rnacentral:rRNA from 1 species